AUCUCAGUGGCGCAAUCGGCAGCGCAACGGACUCCAAAUCCGAAGGUUGAGGGUUCGAAUUCUUCCUGGGAUGCCA
rnacentral:tRNA from 1 species